rnacentral:snoRNA from 9 species
UGAGCAGGGAUUGUGUGUAUCGGCGUUGUGCUUUAAUAAUAUGCGCAUUGAAUCCGAAAGUGUUCCCUGCAAUAUAAAAAAUUCAGGGGAAGAUGGGCAGUUGUGUUUCAAGUUUGCCAUUGAAAUUUCUCAACAAUCAUCUUCCCCAUAUUU